AAGAAGAGACCAUCUAUGCACCAACCCAAAACAAGAAUGGCUUCUUCUAAUGCAAAAGUUUUAUUUUUCAUUAUUCUAUUUAUUUUGUACUUUUAUAACACAAGAGAUGCUUUUCAGUUUUGUAGCUGAUUGUGACCAAAUACCUUUUGUUUUUUAUCAACCCUACAAAAAAUUAUGGCCUAUGCAAGAGUGCAUUCUGUUUACUGCUUAGUGCUUAAUACAUUAAAGGAGGCUGUACUGUACCAACUACCUCAGGGGGACUAAAUCCUGCUAGGUGGAACAAACUGUAAUUUGCACUACUGUCUGUUCAAAAUAAAUGAAAAGAAACCAGGCAUUUGGGAUUUGUUGCUUUUUCCUGUUGUACCGAACUCGUAUCGAACCGUGACCCCAAAACCAAGUGGGAAACCAACUGUAACUGUGACACCGAGUGCAGCUGGAUUUCUGAAACGGAUCUUAUAUUACAGGCGCGCUGAAAUGACAGGCAUCUUCGUUUGUGUUCUGAUGAUGAUAGAAAAUCAUACACAUCUGGCAUGGCAUUAAGGCGUUUCAUCAGGAUAAAUCCUGAGAGAGGCACCAAGGCUGGACGAGGCAAGGUCCUGUCAAAGCGUACGGGGAAAGCCGCCCAGAAAAAGAUGACAUCAGUCAACCCUCGUGUCUCCAGUCUACUAAAGAAACUAAUGGACUUUGAGUGGGACUUUAUAUAAGUCAAUGAACCCAGUCAUUCACACACACACACUCACUCAACUCACUCAAACUCACACAAACACUCACAUAUGAACACUAUCUCACACACACACUCAACACACACAAGCUCACACAAACACUCUCUCACACACACACACACACACAUGCACUCAACACACACAAACUCACACAAACACUCUCUCACACACACUCAACACACACAAGCACUCUCACACACACACACACACAAACACUCUCACACACACACACUCAGUACACACAAACUCACACAAAUGCUCUCUCUCUCACACACACACACACACACACACAAACACUCUCUCACACACACUCAAUACACACAAACUCACACAAACACUCUCUCUCACACACACACACACAAACACUCUCACACACACACACACACAAACUCACACAAACACUCUCACACACACACAAACAGUCUCACACACACACACUCACACACAAACACACACACACACACACACACACACACUCAAUACACACAAACUCACACAAACACUUACACACACAAACACUCGCACACAAACACAUGCACACACACACAAACUCACACAAACACUUUCUCAGACACGCACACACACACACACACACUCACACAAACUCACAUAAACACUUUCUCAGACACUCACUGUUGGGCCUCAUGUAUUCAGAUAGAAGACAAAGGCAGGCCUAACAGUCAUAAAAACAUUCCUCAAGCCCCCUCCUUCUAAGUCGUAAAUUUUACUGAUAAAAAUCAUGCCAAAAUCAAACAAAGGGAGUCCAAAACAGACUACAGAUCCAUGAAGCCUUGCCCUCUAAAGGAUCGAGCUCUCAACUCCUAUUGGAUGAGGCACACCACAGAACAUCCCUCAAACAUGACAUCAUCAGGACUUCAAAUAAUUCUGAAAUGCUUCCAGAGUUGCUUCCAGCGACUUUGUUCACCGAAUACGGACGUAGCUUUUUGCUGCUCUCCGGUGCAACCUCGUGGCUUAAGGAAGUAAUGUCCAACUUGAAACUGUAGCCAUACGAUCUCCAUCUCGCUGGACGAGUUGAGAUUACUCUGUGUUCAACCGAACACUCUAACGGAUCCGAAGGAGACCGCCGAGCAAUUCGCAUCUUCAUCCGUUGGCCUACGGAAGUGAAGAGAUUAAAGAUUUCUCUUCCAUCUUCAAUCAAGUCGACAUUUCUGAGUUCUCCGCCAGCCCGCCGAGAAUCAACAGCCGUACCGCCCGCCGACAGCGUGAGGAAACGGCCUCCCGUCAUCACAAGAGCCUCAAGGAACCGGGUCAGAGUUAAAGGACGGAGGAAAACACAUUCUACCUGUGUCCUCAUGCGAUUCAAGUAAGAGGUUUAUGUCUGGGCAGAGAUAGAAUAUUAUAGUGUGUUAUUCUUGUGUUUCAAGGUUUUUGCUUGUACAGUUUACGGACCGCCAUGUCCGCUAAUUGUUAAUACUCAGGGUAUUAAUUAUCACGAAUUUGUUUUGCUGUAUUGUGGUCCAACCACAUUGGACUGUUGUGCAUUUUCGCCAUCGCGGGUGAGACAGCAACUGAGUUCAUCCAUUAGAGUCAAAUAACGCAGGACUUUUACGAGCCCCGCUCGUAAAACCGCGUCUCUGAGUGAUGAACACGGCUGCUUUAUCUCCAGCUAUCGCGAACUCAGCUUUCGGGCUGUCACUUAAUCAUCUCUCUCUCUCUCACUAACCACACUGACACACACACACACACACACACACUGUCACACACACACCUUAUGUGUUAUAGGAUUAUUUUUAUUUCCAUAUCUAAUCAUGUCACUGUUUAGUUUGUAGUUGUAAGUCGGAAGUUUAUUGACUGCAUUGUAUUAAUUAUUAAUUGAUAUUACUGCAUAAAUAAACUUUGUUUAUAUUACAAAGAGAAGUGUUUUGGUUUGUUUUGCAUACGCCUGUGUCAUGCUGAUGGGAUGUCAGUGCUCGGAUUCAAACCUUCAUUCAUUGUUUUUUCCCGAAAAUCGAUAUUCUUCGGAUGUCGAUUUUCCUAAGAAAACAAUCUAAUAUUGAGACUGUUUUAAUAUUCGGUUAUUAGUCCCUGAUUCCAGGGUGGUGCCCCGUCAAUGUUAAUCCUUAUUAAUAUUCUAUUGAUUUUUGAUAAUUGAUAAUUAUCUUUGAUUGAAUUUGAAUGAUCAAUAAGAUAGUGUUAAUUUUAAUUAAUGUUUCAUC